rnacentral:rRNA from 1 species
CUACGGGUUGCUGCAGUGGGGAAUAUUGCACAAUGGGCGGAAGCCUGAUGCAGCCAUACCGCGUGUGUGAAGAAGGCCUUAGGGUUGUAAAGCACUUUCAGUCGUGAGGAAAGGGGUGUAGUUAAUACCUGCAUCCUGUGACGUUAGCGACAGAAGAAGCACCGGCUAAUUCCGUGCCAGCAGCCGCGGUAAUACGGAAGGUGCGAGCGUUAAUCGGAAUUACUGGGCGUAAAGCGCGCGUAGGUGGUUCAGUCAGUCAGAUGUGAAAGCCCCGGGCUCAACCUGGGAACUGCACCUGAUACUGCUGGACUUGAGUACGGUAGAGGGUAGUGGAAUUUCCUGUGUAGCGGUGAAAUGCGUAGAUAUAGGAAGGAACACCAGUGGCGAAGGCGACUACCUGGACCGAUACUGACACUGAGGUGCGAAAGCGUGGGGAGCAAACAGGAUUAGAUACCCGGGUAGUC